rnacentral:rRNA from 1 species
CUUCCUUUGUACACACCGCCCGUCGCUACUACCGAUUGAAUGGCUCAGUGAGGCCUCCGGACUGGCUCGAAGAGGUUGGCAACGACCACUUCGAGCCGGAAAGCUGGUCAAACUCGGUCAUUUAGAGGAAGUAAAAGUCGUAACAAGGUUUCCGUAGGUGAACCUGCGGAAGGAUCAUUACCUAGAGUUGUAGGCUUUGCCUGCUAUCUCUUACCCAUGUCUUUUGAGUACCUUACGUUUCCUCGGUGGGUUCGCCCACCGAUUGGACAAAUUUAAACCCUUUGCAGUUGAAAUCAGCGUCUGAAAAAACUUAAUAGUUACAACUUUCAACAACGGAUCUCUUGGUUCUGGCAUCGAUGAAGAACGCAGCGAAAUGCGAUAAGUAGUGUGAAUUGCAGAAUUCAGUGAAUCAUCGAAUCUUUGAACGCACAUUGCGCCCCUUGGUAUUCCAUGGGGCAUGCCUGUUCGAGCGUCAUUUGUACCUUCAAGCUCUGCUUGGUGUUGGGUGUUUGUCUCCUGUAGACUCGCCUCAAAACAAUUGGCAGCCGGCGUAUUGAUUUCGGAGCGCAGUACAUCUCGCGCUUUGCACUCAUAACGACGACAUCCAAAAGUACAUUUUUACACUCUUGACCUCGGAUCAGGUAGGGAUACCCGCUGAACUUAAGCAUAUCAAGCG